AGCCUUCUUGCCACGGUCAUGGUAGCCCUGUGCAGUGACCUUGACUGCUCACAGUUGUGCUGAGAUCGACCCUUCACCUCCUGAUAGGAAGCUUCCUGGCCGACCAAUGCCAGAGCAAGUGCCAAUACGGGUGAUCACAUAC
rnacentral:snoRNA from 1 species